AUGUAUAACACACAUGUAUUUGUCCUAACAGGGCAGCCACUGAACGGGAACAGCCUGAUGUCUCCUUUAGUGUCCUGCAAUGUUAUUAACCACCUGAUUACCUCUUUACCAGAAGGACGGAAGGCUUCUUUUUAUUCCCAUUUGCUUUACACAAACUUCAGAACUCAGUUUUGUACCAGCCUUGGUGGAGUCUCCGUCCUCACAGUUGGAAGUACUUGAUGAUAAGUAUGACAAGUCAAGAAAAGAUAUCUGAUGUGGUCCUUCAGACUGCCAAGCCAUCUUCUGGUCUGUCUGUGGAUAUUUCAUCUAUCCUUCGGUCCUAAUUUCUGUCCCACAAAAGUUUGCUUUUCUGUGAUAGCCUGAAAAUUACUGUCUCUGCUGUAAACUGAACUCCUCUCUCAGUAUUGCAGAAGACAGCAGGAACCUUCUUUAAAGUGGGAAAGCAGCACUUAAUCUGCACACAAUAAGAAGAGUUCAAUUGACUUUAUCAUCUUAUUUGCCGAGUCUUGUCCUUUAGCUAGUCAAUAUUUGUAAUGAGUAAGCCUGUCUUCCUCAAAGUUUAUCUAAAGGUUUUCCAAACCAUUUAAGGUUCAUGAGUCUUAAACCUAUUACACAUUUUCUUCACAGGUUUUCUAGAAUUUUCUGGAGUGUUCUACAUUACACACUGACAUCAGGCAAGGGAAAAUAAUCUCCUGCUAGCACUAAGUGGGCAGCCUCUGAAUCUAAGGGUGCUAAUAGAUGUAUAAGCCAUCCAGUCAUGAAAAAGUACAUACCACUUAGGAUCCAGUAUCAUGAAAAGAUCAUCUUUCAUGAUGAAGACUUCUUCAUAGCUUUUUAGUAUCUCAAUUUCAAAAAUGCAGCCAUGAAAAAGGAAAAAUUAAGUUAAAAAUGUUGUUUUAAGGUAACCCAUUAAACCUUCAUCGCUGGUUUGAUUCCACCUGGAGAGAAAAUCCUGUAUACUGCACCAAAUACAGUCAACUGCACAGUAUAUACUAUACUGUAUAUAUACUAUAUACUAUAUAUAGUAUAUAUACUAU
rnacentral:lncRNA from 1 species